rnacentral:lncRNA from 1 species
GGGGCUGUCAAAUCACCGUGGGUUGUCAAGUCACUGAGAUAAAUCCAUGUCCUUGGCAGGACAAUGCCCCAGGGCGGCCAUACCGCAUGUCCUUGACAGGACACUGUCCAUAGCGGUUGUACGGCGUUUGGAUGGGCUGGCUGACUAUAUAUCGGUAUUCGGUUGUCGGGACGUCGGGUGAUGACUCUAAAACACCGUCGGCUGAUCUGGUGCCUUGUGGAAGUCGGACGUCGGCUGCCACCCCCGAUAGUGAGUCGGUGAUACAGGUUCAGCUGCUCGGUCGGUUGGAAACAGUAUGGAUCUAUUCGGUCGGAUAUUGUCGGCAGCC